GCGGGAGUGGCGCAACAGGCAGACGCGGCGGCUUCAAAACCCGACCUAUGCGGGUUCGAAUCCCGCCUCCCGCA
rnacentral:tRNA from 1 species